CGGGUUGUAGUUUAGAAGGUAAAACAUCAAGCUCAUAACUUGAAAGAUAGAAGUUCAACUCUUCUCAACCUGA
rnacentral:tRNA from 1 species